CUAACGGCUGAACCAGCAACUUGGAGGAAAGUAAAGCGAAAGCUGAUUGCAUUAAAUAAUUUCUAGUUUAAUGUAAUUACUACUUAGUAGUUUAAAUUUCUAGGUAGAAUCUGAUGAUGACAUUUUCUAUCUAUAUGUCUUGACCAAAUUACGUGCCAGCAGUCGCGGUAAUACGUAGAAGACGAGUGUUAUUCAUCUUUAUUAGGUUUAAAGGGUACCAAGACGGUUAAUAAAGCCUAGAAUAUAUUAAAACAAGGGGACAUAUUAACUAGAGUUAUAUGAAAGGAAGCUUUAAGGUACUGUUGAGUGUAGAGAUGAAAUUCUGUCAUACCAGAUGAGUGGCACAGAUUUAUGCGAAGGCAUCUUCUUAUGUAAUAACUGACGUUGUAGGACGAAGGCUUUUGAAGUGAACAGGAUUAGAUACCCCAGUAAUCUUAGCAGAAAAUGAUGAAUGUCAUAGGUUAAUCCAAAUUAUAAAUUAGGAUUGGUCUAUAAAUGAAAGUGUAAGCAUUCCACCUCAAGAGUAAUUUGGCAACAUUGGAACUGAAAUCAUUAGACCGUUUCUGAAACCAGUAGUGAAGUAUGUUGUUUAAUUUGAUGAUCCACAAAAAACCUUACCACAAUUUGAAUAUAUAUCUUCAAAAUUUUUUUUUGAAGAUAUUUACAAGCGUUGCACGGCUGUCUACAGUUAAUGUCGUGAGAUUUUGGUUAGUUCCAUAAAAUUAACGAAAUCCCUCCUUUUAUUUAUAAAUAAAGUUUUCUUCGCUAUAUAUGAUGUUAUAAUAGGGAAUAUGACAAGUCAUCAUGGCCUA
rnacentral:rRNA from 1 species